CACCCCUUCCUCUCUCUCUCUCUCUCUCUCUCUCUCUCUCUCUCUCUCUCCGACGCAAACCGUAAAAUUCGCAGAGGCUUUCAUGAAUAUAGGCUAUGCAUGGCCAUUUGAGGGAAAGAAAUUAAUGAUCUUGUCCUUCCUCCUUCAGAAUUUCAGCUGUUGAAGAGGUUGCUUUUGUUUUCUUUCCCUCCACCUCUGUUUUUGAUCUGAAACCAUUUAAUGGGUUUCGUGCAUUUGUGAGUUUGAAUACUCACCUAUGAUUGGUUGUGUCAAACAUUGGAGUGAUUUUUCCCUCCAUUUCUAUUCGCCUCACAAUUAAAACGACAAUGGGAUCUAGGGUUUCGGGGUUCUAUAUAAAGAACCCCAUCCCAGUGUUGAAGGAGGUUGGAAAAAACGGAAAUUACAAAUUGAGUCUUUUUGUUUAAAAACUUAGUCCCGUUUAAUUAAAGAGUCAUUUUUAAGCAAAAUUUCUAAGGAGUUUAGUUUGAUUUAUCAGUUCUAAAUUCUCUUCCUUUUCAUUGUGUUUGAGUAUAUUGGGGGUCUUGGAAGGAAUUUCACUUCCAUUUCUCGGUGAAGGUUGCAUUCGAAAGAUCCGAGCGUCGUUCGCGUUCGAGCGUAGACCCGAGAUUCAAGCCCCUGUUCACUGCCUCCGAAAAAGCGAAAUGGAGUCUUCAUAAAGACUCAUUGUUCGGGCAGUCUCACUUUGAGACUAUGCUGCUACUGGACCUCGAACGCGCAUUUCCAUUCAUUCCUCUCGUCCCCUCGAACACUCCUGAAUAGAAACACCGAGAAAACCCCAGGAUUUUCAUUUUUUUCUUAAGUUUGAUUGUGUAUCUUACUUAUUUAGAACUACCGGCCUUAAACAUUAGAAUAUUUUAACUGUCAGAUGGGUAAUGGGGAUAUUAGUUUGUAGAACCUUGAGAAGUAUUAUUAUUAUUAUUUUCGAAACUUAA